rnacentral:rRNA from 1 species
UACGGAGGGUGCAAGCGUUAACCGGAAUUACUGGGCGUAAAGCGCACGCAGGCGGUUUGUUAAGUUAGAUGUGAAAUACUCGGGCUCAACCUGGGAACUGCAUUUGAAACUGGUAAGCUAGAGUAUAGUAGAGGGGAGUGGAAUUCCCAGUGUAGCGGUGAAAUGCGUAGAGAUUUGGAGGAAUACCAGUGGCGAAAGCGGCCUCCUGGAC